rnacentral:rRNA from 1 species
AUUGAACGCUGGCGGCAUGCCUUACACAUGCAAGUCGAACGGCAGCAUAGGAGCUUGCUCCUGAUGGCGAGUGGCGAACGGGUGAGUAAUAUAUCGGAACGUGCCCUAGAGUGGGGGAUAACUAGUCGAAAGACUAGCUAAUACCGCAUACGAUCUACGGAUGAAAGUGGGGGAUCGCAAGACCUCAUGCUCCUGGAGCGGCCGAUAUCUGAUUAGCUAGUUGGUGGGGUAAAAGCCUACCAAGGCAACGAUCAGUAGCUGGUCUGAGAGGACGACCAGCCACACUGGGACUGAGACACGGCCCAGACUCCUACGGGAGGCAGCAGUGGGGAAUUUUGGACAAUGGGGGCAACCCUGAUCCAGCAAUGCCGCGUGAGUGAAGAAGGCCUUCGGGUUGUAAAGCUCUUUUGUCAGGGAAGAAACGGUAGUAGCGAAUAACUACUACUAAUGACGGUACCUGAAGAAUAAGCACCGGCUAACUACGUGCCAGCAGCCGCGGUAAUACGUAGGGUGCAAGCGUUAAUCGGAAUUACUGGGCGUAAAGCGUGCGCAGGCGGUUGUGUAAGUCAGAUGUGAAAUCCCCGGGCUCAACCUGGGAAUUGCAUUUGAGACUGCACGGCUAGAGUGUGUCAGAGGGGGGUAGAAUUCCACGUGUAGCAGUGAAAUGCGUAGAUAUGUGGAGGAAUACCGAUGGCGAAGGCAGCCCCCUGGGAUAACACUGACGCUCAUGCACGANAGCGUGGGGAGCAAACAGG